rnacentral:lncRNA from 1 species
AGUACACUGUAGCUGUUUUCAGACACACCAGAAGAGGGCAUCAGAUCUCAUUACAGAUGGUUGGGAACCACCAUGUGGUUGCUGGUAUUUGAACUCAGUACCUCUGGAAGAGAAGUCAGAGCUCUUAACUGCUGAGCCAUCUCUCCAGCCCUUAUUUAUACAUUUAUGUAUUUAUGUAUGUAUGUAUUUAUUUAUUUUUAGAGAUAGGGUUUCUCUGUGUAGCCCUGGCUGUCUGGGAGCUUGCUCUCUAGACCAGGCUGCCCUUGAACUCACAGAGAUCCACCAGCCUCUGCCUCCCAAGUGAUGGGAGUGACUACAGGAAAGAGUAGGCAACAUAGUGUUCACUCCAAGUCUGAAGAAUUCUGAGCCUCAAAGAUCUGGAGAAGAGGAAGCUAUUAAAACAGUAUCUGGAGACAGCUAGAGGGUAUUCACUCUCCCUUCUUCCUUGUCUAGGGAACCGAAGGCGUGUUUGCAAAUGUCCCAGGCCCCUUGUCAAGCCCAGACCUUCAGAGAAAUUCGUGUAAAAUGGCGCCACUAGGAAGCCACAACUACUACAUGACUUCAGAGAUUUCUCACAAGAGACCGGGCCCUCCUUUUUCAGAGUUUCCUGCUGGCUUAUAUAUUGUCCUCUGUAUUGUUUUAGGGGUAGGAUGGGGACAGUUCCUUUUUCUUUAUGAAUUCUCUUUGAUACAAAACAUACUUGUAUGCACACAAUGGGGUAAAGAUCAGACUGUAACACCAGAGAUAGUC